GUUGAACGCUGGCGGCAGGCUUAACACAUGCAAGUCGAGCGGAGAUGAGGUGCUUGCACCUUAUCUUAGCGGCGGACGGGUGAGUAAUGCUUAGGAAUCUGCCUAUUAGUGGGGGACAACAUUCCGAAAGGAAUGCUAAUACCGCAUACGUCCUACGGGAGAAAGCAGGGGAUCUUCGGACCUUGCGCUAAUAGAUGAGCCUAAGUCGGAUUAGCUAGUUGGUGGGGUAAAGGCCUACCAAGGCGACGAUCUGUAGCGGGUCUGAGAGGAUGAUCCGCCACACGGGGACGGAGACACGGCCCAGACGCCGACGGGAGGCAGCAGUGGGGAAUAUUGGACAAUGGGGGGAACCCUGAUCCAGCCAUGCCGCGUGUGUGAAGAAGGCCUUAUGGUUGUAAAGCACUUUAAGCGAGGAGGAGGCUACUGAGACUAAUACUCUUGGAUAGUGGACGUUACUCGCAGAAUAAGCACCGGCUAACUCUGUGCCAGCCGCCGCCGUAACAC
rnacentral:rRNA from 1 species